UUAAAAAGCAGUGACUAUUCCUUUAUUCUUCCUUGUUUAUUAUACAAGUAUAUAAACAUGUAUAUACAAUGGAAAUGGAAUAUUAUUCCAUUUUUGAACAAAAUUUAUUCAGUACAAAGGAGUAAUAUCAAUUUCUGAAUAUGUUUUUAUUAUAUGUACAGAGAAGUUAAUAACAUAAUUUUAAAAUUUCAGUUCUAUUUGUUAGUGAUGUUAAUUGUGAGAUUUUUAAGAUAUUAAUGAGUCUUGUUGGUACUUAACCAAUUGUCCCCUUCAAAUGACAGUCCUAAUUGUUGGGGUAUACAUCUACCAUAUAAUUUUUCUAAUUUAUCAUGAAGAUGCAAAUUAAUUUCAGAAUUGAUUUUAUUUUUGAUUAAAACCUUUAUGCACAUUAUUAUGCAAAUUGAGGUACUGUACCACUGAAACAGGCAAAAGAAGCAUAACAUACUGAAGCCAUAAUACCUCUAUGCAAGUACUAUGGAUAUGGUUGUUGGAAAUUAUCUGGUAGAGUUGUCUUAUGCAUAGAGUAAAGCAAAAAUAAUGGAAAAGUAGAGAGCAAGAUAAUUACUCAAGUCAUCUUAGUUGAGUAAAAACAAUUAUAGUUAAAGAAAACUUUGUUAUCUUUUCUGAAUUUGACUUAGUUGGCUGAUAAUUUGAUUUAUUAAGUAUAUUAUAUAAAUGGUUCAUCCACAUAAA
rnacentral:lncRNA from 1 species